rnacentral:rRNA from 1 species
CCACCUGUUCCCAUUUCGAACACAGUAGUUAAGCAUCCACAGGCCGAAAGUACUUGGGGGGCAGCCCCCUGGGAGGAUAGGAUGUUGCCGGUU